GACGAACGCUGGCGGCGUGCUUAACACAUGCAAGUCGAACGGAAAGGCCCUGCUUUUGUGGGGUGCUCGAGUGGCGAACGGGUGAGUAACACGUGAGUAACCUGCCCUUGACUUUGGGAUAACUUCAGGAAACUGGGGCUAAUACCGGAUAGGAGCUCCUGCUGCAUGGUGGGGGUUGGAAAGUUUCGGCGGUUGGGGAUGGACUCGCGGCUUAUCAGCUUGUUGGUGGGGUAGUGGCUUACCAAGGCUUUGACGGGUAGCCGGCCUGGGAGGGUGACCGGCCACAUUGGGACUGAGAUACGGCCCAGACUCCUACGGGAGGCAGCAGUGGGGAAUAUGGCACAAUGGGCGGAAGCCUGAUGCAGCAACGCCGCGUGCGGGAUGACGGCCUUCGGGUUGUAAACCGCUUUCGCCUGUGACGAAGCGGGAGUGACGGUAAUGGGUAAAGAAGCACCGGCUAACUACGUG
rnacentral:rRNA from 1 species